rnacentral:rRNA from 1 species
GACGAACGCUGGCGGCGUGCUUAACACAUGCAAGUCGAACGGUAAGGCCCUUCGGGGUACACGAGUGGCGAACGGGUGAGUAACACGUGGGUGAUCUGCCCUGCACUUCGGGAUAAGCCUGGGAAACUGGGUCUAAUACCGGAUAGGACCACUGCCUGCAUGGGUGGUGGUGGAAAGCUUUUGCGGUGUGGGAUGGGCCCGCGGCCUAUAAGCUUGUUGGUGGGGUGAUGGCCUAACAAGGCGACGACGGGUAGCCGGCCUGAGAGGGUGACCGGCCUCACUGGGACUGAGCUACGGCACAGACUCCUACGGGAGGCAGCAGUGGGGAAUAUUGCACAAUGGGCGCAAGCCUGAUGCAGCGACGCCGCGUGAGGGAUGACGGCCUUCGGGUUGUAAACCUCUUUCAGCACCGACGAAGCGCAAGUGACGGUAGGUGCAGAAGAAGGACCGUCCAACUACGUGCCAGCCGCCGCAGUAA